rnacentral:rRNA from 1 species
CGGCGGACGGCUGAGUAACACGUAGGAACGUACCCCAAAGUGAGGGAUAAGCACCAGAAAUGGUGUCUAAUACCGCAUGUGGCCUUCGGGCUAAAGCUCCGGCGCUUUGGGAACGGCCUGCGUAAGAUUAGCUUGUUGGUGAGGUGAUAGCUCACCAAGGCGACGAUCUUUAGCUGGUCUGAGAGGAUGACCAGCCAGACUGGGACUGAGAACAGCCCAG